AUGGCUAAAUUCUGGUGGAGUGGAUCUCUUGAUCGACAAUCUAUAAAUUGGCUAUCUUGGGAGAAACUUGCAUCACCGAAGUGUCAGGGUGGAAUGGGCUUUCACGAACUUCAGUUAUUCAACUUGGCACUACUUGGUAAGCAUGGAUGGAGGUUUAUUACAAACCCUAACUCUUUAUGUGCCCAAGUGAUGAAGGGGCACUAUUUUCGGGAUUGUGAUUUCAUGGAGGCUUCGGUACCACAGACAUCUUCAGCUAUUUGGCGAGCUAUCAUCGCCGGAAGGGAAGCUCUCCGUGUUGGUCUAAUUAAGAGGGUGGGGGACGGCAGUACUAUCUCCAUCUGGGGAGAUAAGUGGAUCCCG
rnacentral:rRNA from 1 species